GAUGAACGCUGGCGGCGUGCCUAAUACAUGCAAGUCGAGCGAACAGACGAGGAGCUUGCUCCUCUGACGUUAGCGGCGGACGGGUGAGUAACACGUGGAAAACCUACCUAUAAAACUGGGAUAACUUCGGGAAACCGAAGCUAAUACCGGAUAAUAUAUUGAACCGCAGGGUUCAAUAGUGAAAGCCGGUGUUGCUGUCACUUAUAGAUGGACCCGCGCCGCAUUAGCUAGUUGGUAAGGUAACGGCUUACCAAGGCAACGACGCGUAGCCGACCUGAGAGGGUGCUCGGCCACACUGGAACUGAGACACGGUCCAGACUCCUACGGGAGGCAGCAGUAGGGAAUCUUCCGCAAUGGGCGAAGGCCUGCCGGAGCCCCGCCGCGUGCGGCAGGAAGGUCCUCGGAUCGUAAAACUCUGUUAUUAGGGAAGAACAAAUGUGUAAGUAACUAUGCACGUCUUGACGGUACCUAAUCAGAAAGCCACGGCUAACUACGUG
rnacentral:rRNA from 1 species